CUACGGGGCGCAGCAGUGGGGAAUAUUGCACAAUGGGCGAAAGCCUGAUGCAGCAACGCCGCGUGAAGGAUGAAGGUCUUCGGAUCGUAAACUUCUGUCCUUGGGGAAGAAACAAAUGACGGUACCCUUUGAGGAAGCCCCGGCUAACUACGUGCCAGCAGCCGCGGUAAUACGUAGGGGGCAAGCGUUAUCCGGAAUUAUUGGGCGUAAAGAGUGCGUAGGUGGUUACCUAAGCAGGGGGUGAAAGGCAUAGGCUUAACCAAUGUCAGCCCCCUGAACUGGGCUACUUGAGUGCAGGAGAGGCAAGCGGAAUUCCUAGUGUAGCGGUGAAAUGCGUAGAUAUUAGGAGGAACACCAGUGGCGAAGGCGGCUUGCUGGACUGUAACUGACACUGAGGCACGAAAGUGUGGGGAGCAAACAGGAUUAGAUACCCUCGUAGUC
rnacentral:rRNA from 1 species